UACGAAGGGGGCUAGCGUUGCUCGGAAUCACUGGGCGUAAAGGGUGCGUAGGCGGGUUUUUAAGUCAGAGGUGAAAUCCUGGAGCUCAACUCCAGAACUGCCUUUGAUACUGAAAGUCUUGAGUAUGGGAGAGGUGAGUGGAACUGCGAGUGUAGAGGUGAAAUUCGUAGAUAUUCGCAAGAACACCAGUGGCGAAGGCGGCCCACUGGCCCGGUACUGACGCUGAGAUACGGAAAAGCGUGGGGAGCAAACAGGG
rnacentral:rRNA from 1 species